CUUAUACAGUUUACAAUGUAAAAAGGCACAGAGAAAGAAACAAAUAUUAAAUAUAAUGUCAGAGAUGGAUAAUUGCUGUGAACAAAAAUUAAAAUUAGGGUAAAUAAUUAGAGUGUGGUGGAGGGGACCAUUUUAAAUAGCCUCAUUAUGGUAGGGUUCUCUGAGGAGAUGACAUUUGGACAGAAAUCUACAGGAAGAGGGACAGACUGCAAGACUCUCUCCAGGUGACACCAAGUUCAGAUGCUGGCGGAAAAGAAUGGUGGGAACGUUCAAGGCUCAGCAAGAAGGAGCCGGGACUGGGAACAACUGGGAGACUCAUCUCUCCUUGUCCUACUCCCAGUGACACCGUCAGUAACUCACUCAGCAAUAACACAGAACCCUAGGAGUUCAUGACAGUUGCUUUACAGCAUCGUGUCAGUUUCUGCCCUACAACAACACGAAUCAGUCACAGGUAAUAUAGAAGAGCAUUGCUGCUAAGUCACUUCAGUCGUGUCCGACUCUGUCCGACCCCAUAGAUGGCAGCCUACCAGGCUCUGCCGUCCCUGGGAUUCUCCAGGCAAGAACACUGGAGUGGGUUGCCAUUUCCUUCUCCAAUGCAUGAAAGUGAAAAGUGAAAGUGAAGUCGCUCAGUCGUGCCCGACUCUGCUGCUGCUGCUGCUGCCGCUAAGUCCUUCAGUCGUGUCCGACUCUGUGCGACCCCAUAGACGGCAGUCCACCAGGCUCCCCCGUCCCUGGGAUUCUCCUGGCAAGAACACUGGAGUGGGUUGCCAUUUCCUUCUCCAAACUCUUAGCAUUAAAACAC
ensembl:lncRNA